rnacentral:rRNA from 1 species
AGGAAUACCGGUGGCGAAGGCGGCCCCCUGGACAGAUACUGACACUCAGAUGCGAAAGCGUGGGGAGCAAACAGGAUUAGAUACCCUGGUAGUCCACGCCGUAAACGAUGUCUACUUGGAGGUUGUGCCCUAGAGGCGUGGCUUUCGGAGCUAACGCGUUAAGUAGACCGCCUGGGGAGUACGGUCGCAAGAUUAAAACUCAAAUGAAUUGACGGGGGCCCGCACAAGCGGUGGAGCAUGUGGUUUAAUUCGAUGCAACGCGA